rnacentral:rRNA from 1 species
GCUGAUACACGGAUAACCGUAGUAACUCUAGGGCUAAUACGUGAUAAAUCUCCUUCGGGGGUGUGCAUAUUAGCUGAAAACCAAUUUUGGUUGAACGAUAGUAUUUUUCGGAUCGCGUUGGGUUUCCCAGCGACAUGUCAUUCAAGUUUCUGCCCUAUCAGCUUGACGGUAGGUUAUUGGCCUACCGUGGCAUUGACGGGUAACGGGGAAUCAGGGUUCGAUUCCGGAGAGGCAGCCUGAGAAACGGCUACCACAUCCACGGAAGGCAGCAGGUGCGCAAAUUACCCAAUUCUGACUCAGAGAGGUAGUGACAAGAAAUAACGAUAUGCGGCCUUCAUGGUUGCCUAAUCGGAAUGAGAACAAUUUAAACGCCUUAUCGAUCACCAAGUGGAGGGCAAGCCUGGUGCCAGCAGCCGCGGUAAUACCAGCUCCACUAGCGUAUACUAAAGUUGUUGCUGUUAAAAAGCUCGUAGUUGGAUAUCAGUUCAGGCAGCAAGGCCCGGUAGUGUAACUAGCGCGCGCCUAAACGAUUUAUCGGCCGCCUGAACUUAAUUCAGGACUGCCGGUCUGGCCAUUUAUUUGGCACGGGUCGGCGAGCCCUGAUCUUUUACUUUGAGAAAAUUAAGGUGCUCAAAGCAGGCUUUCGCCUGAAUGCAUUAGCAUGGAAUAAUAAAAACGACUUUGGCAUCGGGGAGUGCAAACGACCCGAGUGUUUUGUUGGUUUUGGGCCAAAGUAAUGAUUGAUAGAAACAAUUGGGGAUGCUAGUAUCGCCGGGCCAGAGGUAAAAUUCUAUGAUUCCGGUGAGACUAACUUAUGCGAAAGCAUUCAUCAAGCGUGUUUUCUUUAAUCAAGAACUAAAGUUGGGGGAUCGAAGACGAUCAGAUACCGUCGUAGUCCCAACCAUAAACCAUGUCGACUAAGCAUUGGGCAAAAAACUUCCUCAGCACUUUAUGAGAAAUCAAAGUCUUCGGACUCAGGGGGAAGUAUGCUCGCAAGAGUGAAACUUAAAGAAAUUGACGGAAGGGCACCACCAGAUGUGGAGCCUGCGGCUUAAUUUGACUCAACACGGGAAAACUUACCAGGUCCAGACAUAGUAAGGAUUGACAGAUUGAAGUUCUUUCUUGAUUCUAUGCAUGGUGGUGCAUGGCCGUUCUUAGUUGGUGGAGUGAUUUGUCUGGUUAAUUCCGAUAACGAACGAGACCUCAGCCAUCUAAAUAGCAGUCGCUAACCCGUUAGCUAUAUCCUUACGGAUAGAUCCGCUUCUUAGAGGGACAAUCUGUGCAUAGCAGAUGGAAGUUUGAGGCAAUAACAGGUCAGUGAUGCCCUUAGAUGCUCUGGGCUGCACGCGCGCUACAAUGGUGCAUUCAGCGAGUUCAUCCUUGCCUGAGAAGGCUGGGUAAUCUUGAAAGUGCAUCCAAGUUGGGAUAGAUGAUUGCAAUUGUUCAUCUUGAACAAGGAAUAUCUAGUAAACGCAAGUCAUCAACUUGCAUUGAUUACGUCCCUGCCCUUUGUACACACCGCCCGUCGCUUCUACCGAUUGAAUAAUCCGGUGAACUGAGUGGAUGGAGUGAAGUCCUCGGAUUUGGCUCCAGAAGCUUCGUAAACCUUAUUAUUUAGAGGAAGGAAAAGUCGUAACAAGG